rnacentral:rRNA from 1 species
UGCCCAAGAGAUCGGGAUAACACCUGGAAACAGAUGCUAAUACCGGAUAACAACAGAUGAUGCCUAUCAACUGUUUAAAAGAUGGUUCUGCUAUCACUCUUGGAUGGACCUGCGGUGCAUUAGCUAGUUGGUAGGGUAACGGCCUACCAAGGCGAUGAUGCAUAGCCGAGUUGAGAGACUGAUCGGCCACAUUGGGACUGAGACACGGCCUAAACUCCUACGGGAGGCAGCAGUA